rnacentral:rRNA from 1 species
CCCUUAGAUGUUCUGGGCCGCACGCGCGCUACACUGAUGCAUUCAACGAGUUUCUUCCUGGUCCGAGAGGAAUGGGUAACCUUUUGAAAGUGCAUCGUGAUAGGGAUAGACUAUUGCAAUUAUUGGUCUUCAACGAGGAAUUCCUAGUAGACGUAGUUCAUCAGACUACAUCGAUUACGUCCCUGCCCUUUGUACACACCGCCCGUCGCUCCUACCGAUUGAAUGCUCAGGUGAGCCAUUCGGACUUUCAUCAUGCUGGUUUCCAGUUUUGAUGAAGGAAAGUCUUGCGAACCUUAUCAUUUAGAGGAAGGAGAAGUCGUAACA